CAAAUAUAUACUAGUCCAGUGAUAAUGAACGCCAUACUAAUUUCCAAAUUGUACACAAGAAACUAAAAUUAAAAUAAUACAAGACUAACAAAGGCUAGAGGCUCCUGACUUGGGACAGGCGCAAAAAUGCGGCGGGGUUAAACAUGUUUGUGAGAUCUCAACCCUCCCCCUAUACCUCUAACCAAUGUAGAAAAGUAAACGCAUAACAAUACGCAC
rnacentral:lncRNA from 1 species